rnacentral:rRNA from 1 species
GAUUGCCUACGGGGGGCAGCAGUGGGGAAUAUUGGACAAUGGGGGGAACCCUGAUCCAGCGACGCCGCGUGAGUGAAGAAGUAUUUCGGUAUGUAAAGCUCUAUCAGCAGGGAAGAAAGAAAUGACGGUACCUGACUAAGAAGCCCCGGCUAACUACGUGCCAGCAGCCGCGGUAAUACGUAGGGGGCAAGCGUUAUCCGGAUUUACUGGGUGUAAAGGGAGCGUAGACGGCUAUGCAAGUCUGGAGUGAAAGGCGGGGGCCCAGCCCCCGGACUGCUCUGGAAACUGUAGA